ACCCUCUCAGGGUCACAUCUGGAGAGUUUCCAGUACUCUACCAGUCUCGACUGUUGGGGGGUGAGUCAAGCAGAGGCAUAUCCAUUCCAUUUCUAGCUUGUACAGUGGCUAGUGAGGGGAAGGCCAUCUACUACAAGU